rnacentral:other from 1 species
ACUAGCCUGGGGUGCUCGUGAUUGUCUCGCAGAGUUUUGAGCCUAAGAAAAAAAAGGGAUCUCAAUAUCUGCUCUAAAUAGUCAUGCUCAGUUUCUGAGAAGGCUUGAUAUAGCGUGAGGGAACCCACCUGGUUUACCAGGUUCAAAACCCUUGACUUAACGGCACAUCCGGGUGUAUU